CGGCUGCCGCUAAUAAUACUAAUAUAUAGUGGCAGUCGUUUAAAAUCGCUGCUAAAAACAUUGUUGAUUGUGGCGCCAAAUUUCCUUUUCUCCUCCCCCGAAUAAAUCCCUAAACAUCGCUCUCACUCUCUCUCAUUUUUUCCCGCUCUCUCUAUCUUGCUCGCUCGCACACUCUCUCAUUUUUCUCCCACUCUCUGUGUCUCACCCUCCCUCUCUCUCUCUCUCUCUCUCUCUCUCUCUCUCUCCCUCUCUCUCCCUCUUUCUCUCUCCUUUUUCACAACCAAAGAAUGACCUCGGUCAAAUUUUCUCACAACCAAAGGGCGACCUCGAGAGCAAAGGGUAACCUCAAUCUCGGCUUUCUCAGCACCAAAUAGACAACCAGAUAUCGAGAUUAACAUGCGACACUCUCUCUUUCCCUCUUUGUAUUCAUUGUGUAGAUGCUUCUGGAACUUAUUCAGUUGAAUGUGAAUACGGACAAGGCAUUAAUGCUUGAUGAAAUCAUUGAGUAUGUCAAAUUUCUCCAACUUCAAGUCAAGGUUUUAAGCAUGAGUAGAUUGGGUGCAGCAGGUGCAGUUGUUCCCCUCAUCACAAAAGGUCAGCAGAUCCUACAAGUUUGGGCACAGUUAGAGUUGACAUCUCAGAUCUAGGCCAGCAGUGGUUUAGGGGGCGGACUCAUGACCGCCGCCUUAGACCAAAGCUGGCGGUCUUUAGACCUACCGCUGACCGAUUUUCUUGUAGUGAUGCAAGGCUGUAAAGACUGCUCGACAGGCUUUGCCCUGACCGAAGCCGAACUCUAUCGUGAUUGAUAAAAAUUCUAAUGAAAGUUUUUUUAACAAUUUAAAACAACAAUUAAGUAGGGAAGAGGAAAAGAAGCAAUAUAUAGAGGAGAGAUGGUAGGGAUGUGGAGCGUUAUAAUUUACAGGGAGAGAUUCAAGCGUAAAAAUUGGGAAGUGGCCAACACAUUUACAUGUAUUCUCCAAAACUUUGAAAAAAAAAAGCCAAAAAAGGGCAUCCUUUAUUAUAUUCCUU